UCUCUCCUAAUUAAACACUCUCGAACAGAUCAAAGAGCACAAAUUAAAGUGAAGAACAGAAGCUCACAAAACUCCCACUAGAAAUCGGUCCUCUCUCUAGAAAUCAGUACUCUUCUGCUAAAAUUUCACCCAAAUCGAAAUCCCUCAAAUAAAAAUGUGAAUCUCAUUUGUCAGUCUCAUGCUCACAGGUUAAAACGCUUGAACUGAACAAAAAAUAAGAUUCAUGACACUUUGGGUCUAGUUGGGUAAGAUAUGUUAAACCUGUUUAUCAUUGUGGUGUUUAUAUUAUCAUUAACUUUUAUCUUCUCAAUAUCAUUAAAGUGUUCUUGGAAAGAUCCAGCAUAUCAUUUGGUAAUAAAAUGAUUUAAUUAACAGAAAAUUUAGAAGUUGUUGAAAGGGAGUGGCAGCUAGUUUAUUGUAGCUAGAGAUGGAUGCGUCUUGAGCAGAGUAGAUGCUUCUCUAUUUUCUCUACAUGUUUGUUCCAAGUUUAGAACCUCCCUGAAUCUGCCAAAAGAUGAGUUUUCUCAAAAGCUAAACCAUAAAUAUGAAUAUGCCAUAGUCUAGAAAGUAAUUUCAUAAAAAAGGAGAGCAUUGUCCAUCAGUUGUAAUGCAUAUUGCAUUUUGAAAAUGAUAGAACAAAAAGAUUUGCUUUACUUUACUUUACUGAUUUAUAACUGAUUCUAAAAUGAUUGCACCAAAAAAAUGGAUAAAUUUUUAAGUGUGUCUUCUGCUCUCUUUUAUAAGUGCCUAAAGGAAUUGCACAUCAAAAUCUCAAUCUUGUGUUCAUCCCCACUUCUUUUCUUCUUACUGAAAAAGAAAGCUUCUUUGUCUCUCAAAUGUAACAAAACUCUGAAUGACUUUGAAUAAUCAAAGGAGCAGAGUAGAACAAAUAAUGUCAUUCAUGUCUCGCCAAAGGCAAUAAUGAGUUUAGAUUUCUUUUCUAGAGGAAAUGGAUGAGAUUAUGAUAGUAACUAUCAAAAAAGUUUGAAUACUUCAUUUUGGAUGAUCAAAUAUUCCCUCUUAUAUAUAACUUAAGUAGAAAAAUCCCAUGUUUUAUUACCUCUUCAUGUUUAUUAUUUGGUUAUUUACUUUUUUUAAUUACUUAUUAAUGUAUCCCAUGGCUUGUAUAUAAUGUCUUUUGUGCAUUUGUUUGAGUGUUUCAAUUCAAGGUGUGAAAUUUGGUCUACCGCCCAUCACAUAUGCUGAAAUGGAACUGUUCCAUGGCUUGAGUUUGAGUAUGUUGGCAAUGCUGCUUACAACAUAAUUCCACUCAUGAUAUUAGGGGGUCGAACUUAAGCUUAUUUUUGUCCUCUACCCAAGUGUACACAAUCUAUCUAUAGGGAGAGUCAAGUUUAUUUUAAUGAGGAAGGGUCUUCCUAUAGUUACGAGAGUGAUUAGAAAUUUGAUUUAGAUACGCCUUUUGUGUGUUGGACAUAAUCUAUGAUUUCAAGUUAAACUUUAUAAAUAAAUGUCAAAAUAUGUAUAAAUAAAUUAAGCAAAUAUAUCAAAACUCACAGAACUGUAAUGUAAACCUGUGAUUCAUUUAUGUAUGUUUUUGGAUAUUAUAAGCACAUGAAAGCUUGUACUGUACUCAUCUAUGCAUGUUUUUGGAUAUAACAAAUCUCAUUAUGUUCCUUAUAUAUAUUGCUUUAGUCUAGCAGUGACAAGGCACUUAAACAGUGGUAACGUUCAAGAAAAGUGUCAACCAAGGAGUAGUUACAAGGCACUUAGUAUUUUAUCUUUUUGGGAUAUGUAUAUGCGUACAAUUAUAAUGUACAAUGAAGUGUCGUGUAGUACAUAUGUAAUUGACUUUGUAUAAUGAAAAUAUUUAUAAUAUUUGGCUUGAGAAAUU